rnacentral:rRNA from 1 species
GACAUAGGUCGCAAACGUUAUCCGGAAUUAUUGGGCGUAAAGGAUGCGUAGAUGGUUCAGUAAGUUACUGGUGGGAAAUCGAGGCCCAACCUCGUGGAAGUUAGUAAUACUGUUGAACUUGAGUGCAGGAGAGGUUAACGGAACUUCAUGUGGAGCGGUAAAAUGCGUAGAUAUAUGAAAGAACAUCAAUAUGGCGAAGGCAGUUAACUAUUCUGCUACUGACAUUUGAGGCAUGAAAGCGUGGGGAGCAAAACGG